UACGAAGGGUGCAAGCGUUACUCGGAAUUACUGGGCGUAAAGCGUGCGUAGGUGGUUCGUUAAGUCUGAUGUGAAAGCCCUGGGCUCAACCUGGGAAUGGCAUUGGAUACUGGCGAUCUAGAGUGCGGUAGAGGGCAGUGGAAUUCCCGGUGUAGAAGUGAAAUGCGUAGAGAUCGGGAGGAACAUCUGUGGCGAAGGCGACUGCCUGGACCAGCACUGACACUGAGGCACGAAAGCGUGGGGAGCAAACAGG
rnacentral:rRNA from 1 species